rnacentral:rRNA from 1 species
GAUGAACGCUGGCGGCGUGCCUAACACAUGCAAGUCGAGCGAGGGUUUGCUCAGUAUUGAGUAUUCUAAGUCUAGAAUGUUCAAUUCUGAGCAAAACCAAGCGGCGGACGGGUGAGUAACGCGUGGGUAACCUGCCCUAUACACAUGGAUAACAUACUGAAAAGUUUACUAAUACAUGGUAAUAUAUAUUUGCGGCAUCGCAGAUAUAUCAAAGUGUUAGCGGUAUAGGAUGGACCCGCGUCUGAUUAGCUAGUUGGUGAGAUAACUGCCCACCAAGGCGACGAUCAGUAGCCGACCUGAGAGGGUGAUCGGCCACAUUGGAACUGAGACGCGGUCCAAACUCCUACGGGAGGCAGCAGUGGGGAAUAUUGCACAAUGGGCGAAAGCCUGAUGCAGCAACGCCGCGUGAACGAUGAAGGUCUUCGGAUCGUAAAGUUCUGUUGCAGGGGAAGAUAAUGACGGUACCCUGGAGGAG